rnacentral:tRNA from 1 species
GUAGAUAUAGUUUAACCUAAAACAUUAGAUUGUGGUUCUAAAAACAGAGGUUAAAAUCCUCUUAUCCACC